GAUUUAGCUCAGGGGUACAGUAUCUGCUUUACAUGCAGAAGGUCCAAGGUUUAAUCCCAGACAUGUCCA